CUGUGCUUUGCGUCCAAGUUGAUACCUGUGGAGAGAAAAGGAGAGAGAGUGAAUAACACGAGGAGGAAUAGAGCGAACCCUGUACUUACAGUACGCUGUGUUCAGCCCAGAGGUGAGAGCCAUUCAAAGCAAACUAACUGUGCUAUUGUGCCCAAGUUGAUACCUGUGGAGAGAAAAGGAGAGAGAGUGAAUAACACGAGGAGGAAUAGAGCGAACCCUGUACUUACAGUACGCUGUGUUCAGCCCAGAGGUGAGAGCCAUUCAAAGCAAACUAACUGUGCUAUUGUGCCCAAGUUGAUACCUGUGGAGAGAAAAGGAGAGAGAGUGAAUAACACGAGGAGGAAUAGAGCGAACCCUGUACUUACAGUACGCUGUGUUCAGCCCAGAGGUGAGAGCCAUUCAAAGCAAACUAACUGUGCUAUUGUGCCCAAGUUGAUACCUGUGGAGAGAAAAGGAGAGAGAGUGAAUAACACGAGGAGGAAUAGAGCGAACCCUGUACUUACAGUACGCUGUGUUCAGCCCAGAGGUGAGAGCCAUUCAAAGCAAACUAACUGUGCUAUUGUGCCCAAGUUGAUACCUGUGGAGAGAAAAGGAGAGAGAGUGAAUAACACGAGGAGGAAUAGAGCGAACCCUGUACUUACAGUACGCUGUGUUCAGCCCAGAGGUGAGAGCCAUUCAAAGCAAACUAACUGUGCUAUUGUGCCCAAGUUGAUACCUGUGGAGAGAAAAGGAGAGAGAGUGAAUAACACGAGGAGGAAUAGAGCGAACCCUGUACUUACAGUACGCUGUGUUCAGCCCAGAGGUGAGAGCCAUUCAAAGCAAACUAACUGUGCUAUUGUGCCCAAGUUGAUACCUGUGGAGAGAAAAGGAGAGAGAGUGAAUAACACGAGGAGGAAUAGAGCGAACCCUGUACUUACAGUACGCUGUGUUCAGCCCAGAGGUGAGAGCCAUUCAAAGCAAACUAACUGUGCUAUUGUGCCCAAGUUGAUACCUGUGGAGAGAAAAGGAGAGAGAGUGAAUAACACGAGGAGGAAUAGAGCGAACCCUGUACUUACAGUACGCUGUGUUCAGCCCAGAGGUGAGAGCCAUUCAAAGCAAACUAACUGUGCUAUUGUGCCCAAGUUGAUACCUGUGGAGAGAAAAGGAGAGAGAGUGAAUAACACGAGGAGGAAUAGAGCGAACCCUGUACUUACAGUACGCUGUGUUCAGCCCAGAGGUGAGAGCCAUUCAAAGCAAACUAACUGUGCUAUUGUGCCCAAGUUGAUACCUGUGGAGAGAAAAGGAGAGAGAGUGAAUAACACGAGGAGGAAUAGAGCGAACCCUGUACUUACAGUACGCUGUGUUCAGCCCAGAGGUGAGAGCCAUUCAAAGCAAACUAACUGUGCUAUUGUGCCCAAGUUGAUACCUGUGGAGAGAAAAGGAGAGAGAGUGAAUAACACGAGGAGGAAUAGAGCGAACCCUGUACUUACAGUACGCUGUGUUCAGCCCAGAGGUGAGAGCCAUUCAAAGCAAACUAACUGUGCUAUUGUGCCCAAGUUGAUACCUGUGGAGAGAAAAGGAGAGAGAGUGAAUAACACGAGGAGGAAUAGAGCGAACCCUGUACUUACAGUACGCUGUGUUCAGCCCAGAGGUGAGAGCCAUUCAAAGCAAACUAACUGUGCUAUUGUGCCCAAGUUGAUACCUGUGGAGAGAAAAGGAGAGAGAGUGAAUAACACGAGGAGGAAUAGAGCGAACCCUGUACUUACAGUACGCUGUGUUCAGCCCAGAGGUGAGAGCCAUUCAAAGCAAACUAACUGUGCUAUUGUGCCCAAGUUGAUACCUGUGGAGAGAAAAGGAGAGAGAGUGAAUAACACGAGGAGGAAUAGAGCGAACCCUGUACUUACAGUACGCUGUGUUCAGCCCAGAGGUGAGAGCCAUUCAAAGCAAACUAACUGUGCUAUUGUGCCCAAGUUGAUACCUGUGGAGAGAAAAGGAGAGAGAGUGAAUAACACGAGGAGGAAUAGAGCGAACCCUGUACUUACAGUACGCUGUGUUCAGCCCAGAGGUGAGAGCCAUUCAAAGCAAACUAACUGUGCUAUUGUGCCCAAGUUGAUACCUGUGGAGAGAAAAGGAGAGAGAGUGAAUAACACGAGGAGGAAUAGAGCGAACCCUGUACUUACAGUACGCUGUGUUCAGCCCAGAGGUGAGAGCCAUUCAAAGCAAACUAACUGUGCUAUUGUGCCCAAGUUGAUACCUGUGGAGAGAAAAGGAGAGAGAGUGAAUAACACGAGGAGGAAUAGAGCGAACCCUGUACUUACAGUACGCUGUGUUCAGCCCAGAGGUGAGAGCCAUUCAAAGCAAACUAACUGUGCUAUUGUGCCCAAGUUGAUACCUGUGGAGAGAAAAGGAGAGAGAGUGAAUAACACGAGGAGGAAUAGAGCGAACCCUGUACUUACAGUACGCUGUGUUCAGCCCAGAGGUGAGAGCCAUUCAAAGCAAACUAACUGUGCUAUUGUGCCCAAGUUGAUACCUGUGGAGAGAAAAGGAGAGAGAGUGAAUAACACGAGGAGGAAUAGAGCGAACCCUGUACUUACAGUACGCUGUGUUCAGCCCAGAGGUGAGAGCCAUUCAAAGCAAACUAACUGUGCUAUUGUGCCCAAGUUGAUACCUGUGGAGAGAAAAGGAGAGAGAGUGAAUAACACGAGGAGGAAUAGAGCGAACCCUGUACUUACAGUACGCUGUGUUCAGCCCAGAGGUGAGAGCCAUUCAAAGCAAACUAACUGUGCUAUUGUGCCCAAGUUGAUACCUGUGGAGAGAAAAGGAGAGAGAUAG
ensembl:lncRNA